GGAGGAAAAGAAACCAACAGGGAUUGCCCCAGUAACGGCGAGUGAAGCGGCAACAGCUCAAAUUUGAAAUCUGGCUUUCGGGCCCGAGUUGUAAUUUGUAGAGGAUGCUUUUGGCGCGGUGCCUUCCGAGUUCCCUGGAACGGGACGCCACAGAGGGUGAGAGCCCCCUACGGUCGGACACCAAGCCUCUGUAAAGCUCCUUCGACGAGUCGAGUAGUUUGGGAAUGCUGCUCUAAAUGGGAGGUAUAUCUCUUCUAAAGCUAAAUAUAGGCCAGAGACCGAUAGCGCACAAGUAGAGUGAUCGAAAGAUGAAAAGCACUUUGAAAAGAGGGUUAAAAAGUACGUGAAAUUGUUGAAAGGGAAGGGCUUGUGACCAGACUUGUGCCGGGUUGAUCAUCCGCGGUUCUCCCGCGGUGCACUCUCCCCGGUCCAGGCCAGCGUCGGUUCUGGGAGGGGGACAAAAGCUUGGGGAACGUGGCUCCUCCGGGAGUGUUAUAGCCCCUCGCCCAAUGCCCCUGCCGGGACCGAGGUUCGCGCUCUGCAAGGACGCUG
rnacentral:rRNA from 1 species